UCCGGUGGCCAUACCGAGAGGGAAACACCCGUUCCCAUUCCGAACACGGCAGUUAAGCCUCUCAGGGCCGAUGGUACUCGGUGGGAAACUGCCUGGGAGAGUAGGUCGCCGCCGGGA
rfam:Acidobacteria bacterium RBG_13_68_16 RBG_13_scaffold_2525, whole genome shotgun sequence.